rnacentral:rRNA from 1 species
UACGUAGGGGGCAAGCGUUGUCCGGAAUCAUUGGGCGUAAAGCGCGUGUAGGCGGCUGGCUAAGUCCGCUCUGAAAGCCCGGGGCUCAACCCCGGGAGGCGGGUGGAUACUGGUCAGCUCGAGUCCGGAAGAGGAGUGUGGAAUUCCUGGUGUAGCGGUGAAAUGCGCAGAUAUCAGGAAGAACACCCGUGGCGAAGGCGGCUCUCUGGGACGGUACUGACGCUGAGACGCGAAAGCGUGGGGAGCGAACAGG